AAGCGAAACGCCCGCGUGAGCGGGCGUCUGCCCGGUGUGGUGACCAGGCACUGAUGAGCAGCCAAAU
rnacentral:hammerhead_ribozyme from 1 species